GUGGCUUUCAAGCGUACUUACACAUGCAGUCGAACGGUGAAGGAGAGCUUGCUCUUUGGAUCAGUGGCGAACGGGUGAGUAACACGUGAGCAAUCUGCCCUUGACUCUGGGAUAAGCGUUGGAAACGACGUCUAAUACCGGAUAUGAGCUGUGACCGCAUGGUCAACAGUUGGAAAGAACUUCGGUCAAGGAUGAGCUCGCGGCCUAUCAGCUUGUUGGUGAGGUAAUGGCUCACCAAGGCGUCGACGGGUAGCCGGCCUGAGAGGGUGACCGGCCACACUGGGACUGAGACACGGCCCAGACUCCUACGGGAGGCAGCAGUGGGGAAUAUUGCACAAUGGGCGCAAGCCUGAUGCAGCAACGCCGCGUGAGGGACGACGGCCUUCGGGUUGUAAACCUCUUUUAGCAAGGAAGAAGCGAAAGUGACGGUACUUGCAGAAAAAGCACCGGCUAACUACGUGCCAGCAGCCGCGGUAAUACGUAGGGUGCAAGCGUUAUCCGGAAUUAUUGGGCGUAAAGAGCUCGUAGGCGGUUUGUCGCGUCUGCUGUGAAAUCUGGGGGCUCAACCCCCAGCCUGCAGUGGGUACGGGCAGACUAGAGUGCGGUAGGGGAGAUUGGAAUUCCUGGUGUAGCGGUGGAAUGCGCAGAUAUCAGGAGGAACACCGAUGGCGAAGGCAGAUCUCUGGGCCGUAACUGACGCUGAGGAGCGAAAGGGUGGGGAGCAAACAGGCUUAGAUACCCUGGUAGUCCACCCCGUAAACGUUGGGAACUAGUUGUGGGGUCCAUUCCACGGAUUCCGUGACGCAGCUAACGCAUUAAGUUCCCCGCCUGGGGAGUACGGCCGCAAGGCUAAAACUCAAAGGAAUUGACGGGGACCCGCACAAGCGGCGGAGCAUGCGGAUUAAUUCGAUGCAACGCGAAGAACCUUACCAAGACUUGACAUAUACGAGAACGGGCUAGAAAUAGUCAACUCUUUGGACACUCGUAAACAGGUGGUGCAUGGUUGUCGUCAGCUCGUGUCGUGAGAUGUUGGGUUAAGUCCCGCAACGAGCGCAACCCUCGUUCUAUGUUGCCAGCACGUAAUGGUGGGAACUCAUGGGAUACUGCCCGGGGUA
rnacentral:rRNA from 1 species